CACAGAACUGAUGACAUCAUCCAGAGAAUAAAGAGAGUUCUAGAAGAAUCGGAGAGGACUAAGCCCUCAGUAGCCUCAACCUAAAGGCUGGGAAAAAAGGGCUCCAGGCGAAGGAAAUGUCAGGAAGAAGCUACCAGGUGUCCUGAAAGCCAUGCCAACGGUAACUACAGCGCCCACGGAAAAGGACCGGGAGCUCCCAAACACAUCACGGUUCAUCGUCCAGGAACCCUGUCUCUUCCGACGGAGAGCACAUUCACUCCAGCUUUCGGCAUUGUCUAUGCGGUCCGCACGCUGGCAUGAAGCGCUCGCGGGACAGAGACCGGAGCCGGUCCCUGCGUUCAACUAGGACCACCAAUAAGAUCCCUGGUCUCUCGACGCUAGACAACAAGGGUUUGCAAGCCUGUGAGUUGCAAUUUCUAGCAGAAAACCCUCUGCUCCAAACCCGAAGAAGCAGAGCUCUUGGUGCUCCGCGGAGAGCCAUGCCACAGAGGAUACGCCUUUGCUUUCUCAGGAUCCACAAGCGAGUAAGCAGAAAUAAGCUGCGCUAGUGUGUGAAUAUCUUUUGAAUUUUGCCUAAAAGAAGAAAUGAAGUUAAUAAACAGCUUAUAAAAUUAACGCUAGCAUAAACAGAGAAGAGCCCCCUCAGAUGAACGAAGUGUGGACCCCCACCACUUUUCAGAGCUUACUUCCACAGCUGCUCUAGGUCACUAACUGCCUCCUUCUUUCGUCCAUAUUUGAGCUUGAAGUUUGCAGCUUCUCUUAUCAAGGACAAAUGAGCAGGGGAUUUGGGCUACAGGUUCAACAAAACAAAAUAAAAUAAAGCCUUAAGCCAAGUAUCUAGCCAGUCAGUGAAAUCCUAUUUAUCAGCCCUUUAAAAUGGACCUGAGCACUAAAUUCCUCAUCUGAAGUUUUACUAAGUACGUGAAAGAACAAGUAAUCAUCAAUGUAUGAAACUAGAACAUAAUCCAUUUCUAUUUUGGUCACCUACAAAAAUAAACAAGAUUGGAAUGUAGGUCUGGUAGUGAGUACACUUGCCUAGGAUACCUAGUAUGUGGUCCAUCUCUAACACCAGCAGAAAAAAACCCAACCAAACAAAACAAUAUGCUCCUAAAAUCAAAUCAUAAAAGAUAUGGCACAUUCUCAAACAUUAAUUCAACAAAGUACUAUUCAAAACACUGAUGCCCUCCCACCGCUAACAGUUAAUAACCAUGUAAAUGCAAUAUGUAUGUAUGUA